AGCUUAAACCUUGCAAUUGGAAGAUAUCAUGUUUUACUUUAAAUCUCGUCAUGAAAAGGCAUCAUGUGCUGCUUGUUUACGUUAGUACUACCAUAUAAACUUGUCAUGUUUCCUUAAAUUCCACCAUGAGAAGACAUCAUGUUGUAUACCUUUAUCUUAAAUUCCAACGAUGGGAAGACAUUCUUAUGUGUAUAUUGACCUUAAAUCUCAUUAAUAGGAAGAUAUCAUGUUUGUCU
rnacentral:lncRNA from 1 species